AACGAACGCUGGCGGCAGGCUUAACACAUGCAAGUCGAGCGCCCCGCAAGGGGAGCGGCAGACGGGUGAGUAACACGUGGGAACGUACCCAUCUCUGCGGAACAACUCCGGGAAACUGGAGCUAAUACCGCAUACGCCCUUAGGGGGAAAGAUUUAUCGGAGAUGGAUCGGCCCGCGUUGGAUUAGCUAGUUGGUGGGGUAAAGGCCUACCAAGGCGACGAUCCAUAGCUGGUCUGAGAGGAUGAUCAGCCACAUUGGGACUGAGACACGGCCCAAACUCCUACGGGAGGCAGCAGUGGGGAAUAUUGGACAAUGGUCGCAAGCCUGAUCCAGCCAUGCCGCGUGAGUGAUGAAGGCCUUAGGGUUGUAAAGCUCCUUCAACGGUGAAGAUAAUGACGGUAACCGUAGAAGAAGCUCCGGCUAACUCCGUGCCAGCCGCCGCCGUAAGAC
rnacentral:rRNA from 1 species